rnacentral:rRNA from 1 species
UACGUAGGGUGCAAGCGUUGUCCGGAAUUAUUGGGCGUAAAGAGCUUGUAGGCGGUUUGUCGCGUCUGCUGUGAAAUUUCGGGGCUCAACCCCGAACUUGCAGUGGGUACGGGCAGACUAGAGUGUGGUAGGGGAGACUGGAAUUCCUGGUGUAGCGGUGAAAUGCGCAGAUAUCAGGAGGAACACCGAUAGCGAAGGCAGGUCUCUGGGCCACUACUGACGCUGAGAAGCGAAAGCAUGGGGAGCGAACAGG